rnacentral:rRNA from 1 species
GCCUACGGGAGGCAGCAGUGGGGAAUAUUGCGCAAUGGGCGAAAGCCUGACGCAGCGACGCCGCGUGAGGGAUGAAGGUCUUCGGAUCGUAAACCUCUGUCCGCAGGGAAGAACGGUCACUGUGCUAAUCAGCAGUGAAUUGACGGUACCUGCAAAGGAAGCGCCGGCUAACUCCGUGCCAGCAGCCGCGGUAAUACGGAGGGUGCGAGCGUUAAUCGGAAUUACUGGGCGUAAAGCGCUCGUAGGCGGUAUGUCAAGUCAAGGGUGAAAUCCCCGCGCUCAACGUGGGAACUGCCUGUGAAACG